rfam:Chryseobacterium takakiae strain DSM 26898 genome assembly, contig: Ga0131160_111
UAAUAGCCCCGAUUGCAAUGAAAAUCCUUUUUUGCAAAAAAAGAUUGUAAUGGAAAGCGAGAAAAGCU